CUUUUUGAAGGGAUCCGUGGACGACGAUUGGCUGGAGCAAUGCAGCGCACCCACCCUGAUUGGCUGCGGCGGGGGCGUGCGGAGAACGCUUGUCUUCAUCACGGGCAAUUUCUGGCAGCAGCAGAGUUUAUUACCUGGAAGGACUUGACUUUCAAAUAAUCACGACAAGGUUUAUCUGCUUCUAAAAAUGAAAGUGAAAGCAGCUGAGUUCUCUUUCUCUCAUUCGGCGGUCACCGUGUUUCAGACAGCAGCAGCUACAGCAAAGUGAUCAUGUGUGAUGUAAUGGACAGAUUGUGGAGAGUGAAUUUCAAUAAUACAGUUAAGAUCCGCGUGGUCACUUCUGGUCAAACCUUUGGAGCUCAUGAUGAGCUGCUGAACCAGCUGGGGAGGAAGUUAAAGCUGCUUCAUACGGACCGGGACAGAAACAGCAUCAUCAUGCUCUUCUGUCCAAUCACCUCUCGAGUCGGGUCUGAUGUGGAAGCAGCCCUGAGCUCUCUGUCAGGAGAUCAAAAGGUGAUUCUGGUCCUGAUGCACCACACCAGAGAUCCCAGCUACUCCACGGCCGGAACGGACUGGGCAGACGUCUAUCCCAACGUCGUCUCCAGCGUUCAUGUUCUCUUCCACGAGAGCGUGCCAGGAUUACUGACAUGUUCUCACAACAACAUGGCGGUGGAUCAGAUGCUGGGAGUGUUGAGCUUUUACAGCAGUAGUUGCUGGAGAGAAAGUUCUUCAUGGGAUGUGAGGAGGGUUGUAUUAAUCUCCUUAGGAAACUUGAUCAGAUAUCAUGAGCUUUUUAUGGACAUUGGUUGUCUUUUCCUUCAGAUCAGUUUGGGCAGAUACACACCGCAUUUUUGUCUAUGUGCUGUGGCGCUACGUUUUAUUUACCGUGGAUGCUGUAAAUAACAUCACACUUGAGUUAACGUAGUUGGAGAAGUCGUGAUUGCAACAUGGCGACGCCCAAGUUUUACAGCCAAGUAAGGUUAGGUAAUAGUCUUACACAUAAAACAUUAAACAUUAGACUCUGACAGCCUUAAUAUAAAUUAGCAUAAAAUAUACCAGUAACAUGUGGAGGUAUCUGACUGAUUUCUGUACAAUGUUUUUAUAAUGACCUGGAGGAAUGAAAGUACACAAAAAUGU